AAAGAAGUCACUACUAAAAUACUGAAGUGUGGGCCAGAUGAUUUCAGAUGCUGCUUCUGGUGUUAUGGUUUUAAGCUUUAAAAACAGCAGAAGAAACACCUUUUACAUGUCUAGCAGCUGACUCAAUGCAAGUAUUACCACCAGCAGGAACCACAAAGAAACCUAGAUAUCACGACACUGCUCUGUUGGAACAGGAGAAGUACUCAAACACGGUACCUGACCCCAGGAGGAGCAUAAAGAGAGCAAAGCCACUCCUGAGGAAGCAGAGGAAGACAACUCAAGGGGAAUGAAGCAGUGCCUUUAAAUGACCUUUGAGGACAAAUGGGAUUGCAAUAAAAUAACAAAGGUGAAGGAUACAAAGUAGAUAACUAAACAUAUAAAAACUUUUGCCUUACCAGGGAACAGGUAGUUAUUUUCUAU
rnacentral:lncRNA from 1 species